rnacentral:rRNA from 1 species
GAACCUGAAACCGUGUACGUACAAGCAGUGGGAGCACAGAGCAAUCUGUGUGACUGCGUACCUUUUGUAUAAUGGGUCAGCGACUUAUAUUCUGUAGCAAGGUUAACCGAAUAGGGGAGCCGAAGGGAAACCGAGUCUUAACCGGGCGUUAAGUUGCAGGGUAUAGACCCGAAACCCGGUGAUCUAGCCAUGGGCAGGUUGAAGGUUGGGUAACACUAACUGGAGGACCGAACCGACUAAUGUUGAAAAAUUAGCGGAUGACUUGUGGCUGGGGGUGAAAGGCCAAUCAAACCGGGAGAUAGCUGGUUCUCCCCGAAAGCUAUUUAGGUAGCGCCUCGUGAAUUCAUCUCCGGGGGUAGAGCACUGUUUCGGCAAGGGGGUCAUCCCGACUUACCAACCCGAUGCAAACUGCGAAUACCGGAGAAUGUUAUCACGGGAGACACACGGCGGGUGCUAACGUCCGUCGUGAAGAGGGAAACAACCCAGACCGCCAGCUAAGGUCCCAAAGUCAUGGUUAAGUGGGAAACGAUGUGGGAAGGCCCAGACAGCCAGGAUGUUGGCUUAGAAGCAGCCAUCAUUUAAAGAAAGCGUAAUAGCUCACUGGUCGAGUCGGCCUGCGCGGAAGAUGUAACGGGGCUAAACCAUGCACCGAAGCUGCGGCAGCGACACUGUGUGUUGUUGGGUAGGGGAGCGUUCUGUAAGCCUGUGAAGGUGUGCUGUGAGGCAUGCUGGAGGUAUCAGAAGUGCGAAUGCUGACAUAAGUAACGAUAAAGCGGGUGAAAAGCCCGCUCGCCGGAAGACCAAGGGUUCCUGUCCAACGUUAAUCGGGGCAGGGUGAGUCGACCCCUAAGGCGAGGCCGAAAGGCGUAGUCGAUGGGAAACAGGUUAAUAUUCCUGUACUUGGUGUUACUGCGAAGGGGGGACGGAGAAGGCUAUGUUGGCCGGGCGACGGUUGUCCCGGUUUAAGCGUGUAGGCUGGUUUUCCAGGCAAAUCCGGAAAAUCAAGGCUGAGGCGUGAUGACGAGGCACUACGGUGCUGAAGCAACAAAUGCCCUGCUUCCAGGAAAAGCCUCUAAGCAUCAGGUAACAUCAAAUCGUACCCCAAACCGACACAGGUGGUCAGGUAGAGAAUACCAAGGCGCUUGAGAGAACUCGGGUGAAGGAACUAGGCAAAAUGGUGCCGUAACUUCGGGAGAAGGCACGCUGAUAUGUAGGUGAAGUCCCUCGCGGAUGGAGCUGAAAUCAGUCGAAGAUACCAGCUGGCUGCAACUGUUUAUUAAAAACACAGCACUGUGCAAACACGAAAGUGGACGUAUACGGUGUGACGCCUGCCCGGUGCCGGAAGGUUAAUUGAUGGGGUCAGCGCAAGCGAAGCUCUUGAUCGAAGCCCCGGUAAACGGCGGCCGUAACUAUAACGGUCCUAAGGUAGCGAAAUUCCUUGUCGGGUAAGUUCCGACCUGCACGAAUGGCGUAAUGAUGGCCAGGCUGUCUCCACCCGAGACUCAGUGAAAUUGAACUCGCUGUGAAGAUGCAGUGUACCCGCGGCAAGACGGAAAGACCCCGUGAACCUUUACUAUAGCUUGACACUGAACAUUGAGCCUUGAUGUGUAGGAUAGGUGGGAGGCUUUGAAGUGUGGACGCCAGUCUGCAUGGAGCCGACCUUGAAAUACCACCCUUUAAUGUUUGAUGUUCUAACGUGGACCCGUGAUCCGGGUUGCGGACAGUGUCUGGUGGGUAGUUUGACUGGGGCGGUCUCCUCCUAAAGAGUAACGGAGGAGCACGAAGGUUGGCUAAUCCUGGUCGGACAUCAGGAGGUUAGUGCAAUGGCAUAAGCCAGCUUGACUGCGAGCGUGACGGCGCGAGCAGGUGCGAAAGCAGGUCAUAGUGAUCCGGUGGUUCUGAAUGGAAGGGCCAUCGCUCAACGGAUAAAAGGUACUCCGGGGAUAACAGGCUGAUACCGCCCAAGAGUUCAUAUCGACGGCGGUGUUUGGCACCUCGAUGUCGGCUCAUCACAUCCUGGGGCUGAAGUAGGUCCCAAGGGUAUGGCUGUUCGCCAUUUAAAGUGGUACGCGAGCUGGGUUUAGAACGUCGUGAGACAGUUCGGUCCCUAUCUGCCGUGGGCGCUGGAGAACUGAGGGGGGCUGCUCCUAGUACGAGAGGACCGGAGUGGACGCAUCACUGGUGUUCGGGUUGUCAUGCCAAUGGCACUGCCCGGUAGCUAAAUGCGGAAGAGAUAAGUGCUGAAAGCAUCUAAGCACGAAACUUGCCCCGAGAUGAGUUCUCCCUGACCCUUUAAGGGUCCUGAAGGAACGUUGAAGACGACGACGUUGAUAGGCCGGGUGUGUAAGCGCAGCGAUGCGUUGAGCUAACCGGUACUAAUGAACCGUGAGGCUUAACCUUACAACGCCGAAGGUGUUU